rnacentral:lncRNA from 1 species
CCGGUCGUUGGUAGCGCGGAGGAGGCAGUGAGGGAGUUCGCAAAAGGGGCACCUGUUCCGUACUGGUAUUGUCAACGUAUAGAUUCAGAUUCUAUCCUGCCAUUGAUCUACCUUGCAUUUUUUACGGAAUUGAACUUGUAAGAUUUCUAAUAAGAAUAAUAACUACCAGAGUGGUUGUUCUUCCAGAUCUAUAUAAGAGUUUAAAGCUUUUGGGCAUGCAAAAAGGUAACCAUAUAGAGUACUUGAGUUACAUUUUUUUUCAUUCAGCACUUCCUUAGCAAUUAAAUUUAGCCUUACUACAGCAAAUGUUAUAUCCAUUGUCUCUCCAUAUUACUUAAUUUAUUUUUGUAGUUCAUAGUAUUGUUUGCACUUGUUAACAUCUCUAUCUAUGAAAGCAGUGACUGUCAAUGGCAUGCUAUUAUUUACCAUUUAAAGAGAAAUAGCAGUUCAAUCUAUAAUAUUCUUUGUACGAUAUUUGCGGUCAUAUUUUAGACAUGGACGUCAUGCUUUUCAACCAAACAUUGUACUCCCUCUGUAAAGAAAUGUAGGAUUUUUUUUGCAGUUUAAAUUAAACUGCAAAAACAUCUUACAUUUGUAUACAGAGGGAGUGUAAUUUAAAAAUUAGAAAAGCUCUUUGUAUACUAUAUUCUUUGUAGUAUCUUCGCUUGGGCGCUCUAUAUUGUCGAUCAACACCUUUAAUCCUUCUCUGUUUGUGACUCUUGAUAAUGCCAUAGUUGCCCAUGUUAGAAAACUUGCUUAGGAGAGUAUGUACCCACCUUGAUUAGGGAUUGACCUUGCCUCUUAUUUAUGGUCAUUGCAAAACAUAUUGAUAGAUGAUAUUGCCUUCUUUGCAGCACGAAGGGCCAGUUUCAGUCAUUUCGUGACAUAAUGAUCUUAGGUAUGUAUACCUUCUCGCCAACGUGUGUUCCUGUGAUUAUCUGUUCCUCAAUAUAUCUAUUUCCCAGCUGUGUGAUAGUCAUUCUUGCACCAUUGCAUAAACCUGCCGCUUGAUUGAUGUUGUGUAGGAGCAUGACCAGUAAACCUACCUUUAGUUUCAGCUGUGGUUUGGAAUUCUUUUAUUACGGAACUCUGUUGGACACAUAGUCUCCAUGGUGCUGUACCUAGUUGUUGCCUUGCAUAGUGUCCAAGCUUAGGUAUGUCGCCUCUUCCCCUUGUAUUUGGCUCAUUAUGUAGUCAUUUAUCUUCUCGACCGCUUCAUUCCUUUCACAUAGUAUUGCUCUUUCUUCAAGAAGUUAACGGGCACGGUAGUAUGCUUCUGUAGCAAGUUUGAGUACAGUCACAUUUUGCUUUUGCAUUGGAUCUUCUGACAGACACUUCAGACGCAUGUUUUCAGUUAGGAUAAUUAUUUCAAAGUGCUUCGAUAGGUAUGACCUUUUGAUUGAGGCAUUUAUUAUCUGCUCUCUUUCCCUUUGUUAUAUCUGGGAGUAUUUGUCUGAAGUCGCCUUCUAGCACAACCUUCAUGCCACACCAAAUGGUCUUUCAUCACUAUUUUGGUUUGUGAACCUUAGAAUAUCCCAAAGGCUUUUGUCUAGUGCCUCAAAACAGUGUUUGUUUGCCAUAGGAGCCUCGUCCCACAGUAUUAAUAAGGUCUUCUUUACCAGUUCAGCCAAAUGUGAGCCUUGCUUUAUUUCACAUGUUGAUUCUGAUGUGAUAUUUAUUGGAAUGUGGAAUCUUGAGUGCGAUGUUCUUCCACCUUGGAGCAGCAAAGCCGCAGUACCAGAUGAUGCUAACGCAUGCACUAUCUUUCCCUCUGAUCGUACUUUUGUUGUGAUGCCCAUAGAGAAGUUUUGCCCGUGCCACCUUAGCCUUGUACAAAUAUCUGUUUUCCAACCCCUCUCUCAGCUGAUUUCGUUAUUGCACCAAAGUCCAUUUUCUGGUCCUGGUUGAGAUUGUUUAUUAUAGUUUGGUGCUCACUCUAUACUGCCUCCAUGUCGUAGCUAAUUUCUUUGUUUAUCAGCCCGUUCCCAAGUUGCUCAAGUUCCAUAGCAUUUGGUAGUUCUAUGUUUGGAUAGUCCUUUAGUGACUUUCCUGCUUGCCACGUUAUUUUCUCUAUCUCGAUCAGAGCACAUGCUUUCUACUGCGAAUCAGUGAGCUGCAGCAUAGGAAAGUUUAGGAUAAUUCUUAUUUUGUACUGGAUAUCUUCGGAUAGUGCCUCCCAUGUUGAACCCACAACAUUUUCGGGCUGGUCACCUCAUAAUGGCACAAUAUUGUGGUAAAUAGCUGUCGUAAUUGUGUCCUUGAUUCCCAGCUUGAUGCUUCAUGAGUGCAUUCAAUCUACUCAAUGUCGCUAUCAAGAAAUCAGAGAGCUUUGCAUGCUGAUUUGUAUGUUGGGUGAACAACUUCAUUAAUUGUUCUAAUACCCUCAAGUGAUGUGCAAACUUUCUUGGUGUUUAGAAGCAUUCUCAGAAAAUACCGCUCGCCACAUGUGGGGUGUGCAUAGUAGAUUCUUCCAAUCGCAAAGCUCCUUCUCCACACCUCCCAAGUUUUUGUUUCACUUUUCCAUACAAAUUUCUAUGGGAAUUCUAGUUAAUUAUUUUCCUUGAUCAUAUAUUUUGUUUGGCUCCAUCCACUCAGUGAACUUAUUACCAAUAAACUACCAUGAAAUUUCCUAAUAAGAGUGAGCUUGUGAUUCAUUCUCGAUCCAAUUCGACUUUGAGAGAAAUUAAGUUCUAGGUAUUUCCUGAUUUCAUCAUAAUCAUUUGCGACAUCCCUUUCUUUGAGCAAGGUUGUUACUUGGUCAUCGUCUAUAAGGAUGUGCUUAAAUAGAAACUUGCUUGACCUGGACCUGUUGCACCACUCGACAUUUAUGUGAGCUUGGAAUUUGACCAAUAGAUUUCGGUUGUAAGGCACGACAAAUCUGUUGUCAAGCACUGCAUUUCUCUUUUUGACCUGCCUUCCAUUGUCUCGUCUUCUAUAUACUGGAAAGCCAACCUCAUCUAUUGUGGUAUCGAUAGUGUAUCUUUUUGGGAAAUGCUUCGUGCAUCUGUUAUCCGUCAUGCAUGAUGAUUUCGUAUUUGCCACUCUGCAAGGCCCGUGCAUCAUGAAGUUCUCAACACCUGCAUAUGCCUCUAGAGAUCCUUUAAACUCCUUUACCUUUGUAUUGUAUGAAACAAUCUUUUAUUUCCAUUGCUCACUGGGCGAUACUUUGGAUUCCACAACCUUAAAUUGUCUGUUAGGUUAUUCCAGAUAAUAGCAUGUAUUGUUUGGCCCUGUGAAUACAAUGGGAUAUACUUAGUAAUUGUUUUUGAAAACAUGGAAUGAUCUACGGUUACAUAUAUAUAAAGAAUAGACCUCUUCAUCCAUCAAGAUCAUAUCUAGCUGAUUAACUCAUGGUUGCAGGAUUGAUCAAAUCCCACAUUCUUAUUACUUUCACUUGUAUGUUUUAGUUUUGCCCCCCGUUAAGUCGCUCAACUUCUAUGAUUUUUCGGUAGGACUUCGUUGGACGUCGAGUUGUAUGUGUGUGAAAUGGUUGGGCAUAGCUUCGUCAGGCGUUGAGUUGCACGUCCCUUCUGCUUACUUUGACUCAUGCAGACUUUGAUAAUUCCUUGCAUGAUGUGUGUCCCGUCGUCGUUCUAGCUUACUUUGACUCCGUGCAACCUUUGAUAUUCUCCCUGGGGUGAUGUGCAUUGGGUCGCUUGGAUUUGGUGUCGUGAUAUGCUUUGCCUGGCAUGGCUUGUAUAUAUUGGUUGGUCUGGCUAAGCUGUUGUAGCCGACACCGUUUUGAGUUACAUUGUCCUAUUUGCAUGCAUCUAUGUGUAUCCUUGUCUAUUUCUAUUUGCAUGUUGGAGUCAAUUUGGGUUUGCUUGGCCUUUGUGUCGUGAUGUUCCUUGUCUGUUGGUGAUUCAUUGUUUUGGGCGAGGACUCUUUGGGAUUUCAAGUCCCUAUUUUUUUUUUAAAUCCUUUUGGGGUUUUCAUAUAUUGAACUAUUGAUGGAAAGAUCCUUCCUUGUGUAACGUUGAUGCAAGAGGACGUGUUGGACGUCAUAUGGUCCAUUAUUUUCAUUCCAUGUCCUUUAUUCGGGGUUUCCAUGUUGAACUUUAUUGAUGGAAAGACCCUUUCUUGUACAAUUCAAAAAAAGACCCUUCCUUAUAAUGGAGGACGCGAGGACGUGUUGGAAGGUGUAUGCUUAAUUUUUUUAUGUAACGGAAGCAAGACGUGUUGAAUUGUGUACGUGUUAAUAUAUGUAUGUAACGUUUUUAUCUGUAAAAUCUCAACCGUAAAAUCAUAAAAUCAAUGCAUCCGAUUAUUUAGGAUAUGUGGAUCAAUGUGGUGGCUUAUUUGUCUCUUGUCUUAAUUAUAUAAUAGAUUAUCGAUCAUACGAAUAUAAAUUCGCAGUGUGACUGAAUGAAAGAUAUGAUUUGAACGAACUUGCAUUUUUCUCUCUUAAUGUACAGACUUAUCAAACGAUUUUCUUUUGAAAAAAGUCAAUGGUGUUUAAAUAUAAAAC